CUGGGAGUGAUGACGACUUGACUUGUGAGAACGAUCUGUGAUGUUUCAGUAUUCAUACUGUCUGACCCGC